rnacentral:rRNA from 1 species
CCUACGGGUGGCAGCAGUGAGGAAUAUUGGUCAAUGGGCGCGAGCCUGAACCAGCCAAGUCGCGUGAGGGAUGACGGCCCUAUGGGUUGUAAACCUCUUUUGUCGGGGAGCAAAAGGCGCCACGCGUGCCGUUCCGAGAGUACCCGAAGAAAAAGCAUCGGCUAACUCCGUGCCAGCAGCCGCGGUAAUACGGAGGAUGCGAGCGUUAUCCGGAUUUAUUGGGUUUAAAGGGUGCGAAGGCGGAAGAUCAAGUCAGCGGGAAAAUUGAGGGGCUAAACCUCUUCGAGCAGUUGAAACUGGUGUUCUUGAGUGAGGGAGAGGUAGGCGGAAUGCGUGGUGUAGCGGUGAAAUGCAUAGAUAUCACGAAGAACUCCGAUUGCGAAGGCAGCUUACCGGAGCGCAACUGACGCUGAUGCACGAAAGUGUGGGUAUCGAACAGGAUUAGAUACCCGAGUAGUC